UUAAAAAAGAUUGUGUCUAUUAGCACAAGGUUUUUCAUUCGUUGUUAAUUAUACAAAAGUGUCUUUGAAUCCAAAAUGAUUUCCUACCCAGUCUUCACUUUCAAAGGAAACAGCAUUUCUUUGGACAGCUAUCGCUCCUGAGGACACUGGCUUAUAGCUGGUCACUAUGGAAGUCUUAUGGGUCCCUUGCUCUUUCUGCUAAAUGACUACAUUGAAAUGGUUAUUUGGAGGACAGUCCAGCCAGAUGGGUUGUAAAGUUUCUUUUAUCUGUACAUGUAUGGUAUUUUAGUUUCCAUAAAGAAAGACAGAAGUUAUCUUUUAAGUUAAACCAAAUUUCACUUUUUGAGAUAUCUUCCAACUUAUUUAUUGGUUGUUACUCAAAUGCCUGUGCGUGCGUGCAUGUGUGUGUGUGUGUGUGUGUGUGUGUGUGUGUGUGUGUGUGUGUGUGUGUCUGUAUUAUCAGGCAUAUGCUUCUAAGCUUUUAAAUGGAGGAGGAGCAAAAUCUAUGCCAGAUACUGUAUAUUCUACCAUGGUGCUAAUAUCAGAGCUAAAUGAUACUCCAUUUAAUUUAAAGAAGAGUUUUAAAUAAUUAUCUAUGUACCUGUUUCCCUUCUGAGUCCUGGUCAUUAUGUCCUCAGUGGUGUGAAAGCAGGUGAAUCAAGUAUAUGUUCUACUUUCUAGGGACAGUACUAUGAUCCCUAUUUAAUUCAAACUUAACUAGAGCUUCUCCAUGUGAAAUGGACCAAACUGGCAUUGUUCUAUUUAAACAGAGAGUUUUAAAGCAGUAUGACAUCCCACAGGGGGAAAAAUGUCUGUAGAGGACAAUUGUCCUCAGAUAUUUUACAGAAACAAAGAAUGAUGAGAAGACUGGUAACUUGCUUGAGUUUCCAUGAAUAGAUUUGAGACGUAAUGGCAAAUCGAUUUUGUAUUUAAAUUUUUGUACUGAUUUGAAAAACAGAUCAUUAAAUAUCUCUAAAAGUA
rnacentral:lncRNA from 1 species